rnacentral:rRNA from 1 species
GAUGAACGCUGGCGGCGUGCCUAAUACAUGCAAGUCGAGCGAACAGAUGAGGAGCUUGCUCCUCUGACGUUAGCGGCGGACGGGUGAGUAACACGUGGAUAACCUACCUAUAAGACUGGGAUAACUUCGGGAAACCGGAGCUAAUACCGGAUAAUAUAUUGAACCGCAUGGUUCAAUAGUGAAAGACGGUUUUGCUGUCACUUAUAGAUGGAUCCGCGCCGCAUUAGCUAGUUGGUAAGGUAACGGCUUACCAAGGCAACGAUGCGUAGCCGACCUGAGAGGGUGAUCGGCCACACUGGAACUGAGACACAGUCCAGAUUCCUACGGGAGGCAGCAGUAGGGAAUCUUCCGCAAUGGGCGAAAGCCUGACGGAGCAACGCCGCGUGAGUGAUGAAGGUCUUCGGAUCGUAAAACUCUGUUAUUAGGGAAGAACAAAUGUGUAAGUAACUAUGCACGUCUUGACGGUACCUAAUCAGAAAGCCACGGCUAACUACGUG